AACGUAGGAGACAAACGUUAUCCGGAGUUACUGGGCGUAAAGGGCGUGUAGGCGGUUUGUUAAGUCUGGCGUGAAAGCUCUCGGCUAAACCGGGAGAGGUCGUUGGAUACUGGCAGACUAGAGGACGGUAGAGGCGUGUGGAAUUCCGGGUGUAGUGGUGAAAUGCGUAGAGAUCCGGAGGAACACCAGUGGCGAAGGCGACACGCUGGGCCGUACCUGGCGAC
rnacentral:rRNA from 1 species